CAAAGACAUUCUGGAAAGUCACCAUCUGUGGUGAUGGGCUGCAGCUCCUUGAAGCUUCCUUGCACCAGUCAAUUCACACCCAGCUUUCUCCCCCACUGUAUGUUCAGAUAUGUCACAUCAAGGAAAAGCUGGCACUUGGCAACACAAAUGGUCGCAACACAUCACCUUCCCUUAAUGACCUUGGCCAGACAUCCAUAGAAGGUUUUGCUUGAAAGAACCGGAUAAAGUUUGAAUAAGUGUUAUCUUGGACAUGAAGAACAGCAAGACUUGGUCUGGAAAGCACCACCUUUUUCCUCUGUAGCUGAAAGAGCUGCUCUGUAAGUGCCAGCAGACACUUCUUUGCACUGCAUAGUCCAGCUACUCCCAUGUGAUGCAGCACCUGCAGGCAAGUUGCCACUUGAAAAAAAAACUAUGGCCAUGAUGAUUUCUAUUGCUGAUGUCUUCAGAUUAAGCUUGGAUAUUUUUUCCAUUAGAAAUCAUAGUGGUGCACUGGCUAUUAGCUCCAAAUCCUUAUUGAAAUAUUACACUAAGGAUCCAGCUAAGGACUUGAGGAUCUAAUCAUUCUUUUUGGCUUUCAUAACCUACCAAUCAACAUGAAGAUAAA